GAUGAACGCUGACAGAAUGCUUAACACAUGCAAGUCAACUGUGGCGGACGGGUGAGUAACGCGUAAAGAACUUGCCUCACGGUUUGGGACAACAUUUGGAAACGAAUGCUAAUACCUGAUACUGUGAGGGAGCGUUGCGUCCCAUUAGCGCGUGGGAGAGGUAACGGCUCACCAAGGCGAUGAUGGGUAGCCGGCCUGGGAGGGUGAUCGGCCACAAGGGGACUGGGACACGGGCAGUACUCCUACGGGAGGCAGCAGUGGGGGAUAUUGGACAAUGGACCACAGUCUGAUCGAGCAAUUCUGUGUGCACGAUGAAGUUUUCGGAAUGUAAAGUGCUUUCAGUUGGGAAGCGGUACCAACAGAAGAAGUGACGGCUAAAUACGUGCCAGCCGCCGCGGUAAUUC
rnacentral:rRNA from 1 species